rnacentral:lncRNA from 1 species
AUGUCAUCAGAUUUCUUCGCAUAAAAAACAGCUCUCUCCUAAGACUUGGGGUCUUUAGUCUUGAUCUUGACCACAGUCACCCUGCUUCCAGUAAACCUAUUAUUUUCUUGGAGACUGUAUUGGUGUGAUAAUUUUUCACCACAAAAUGCGAAUUAAAACAACUCUGAGGUACCCACUACACAUCUGUUAGAUUAGCAAAUAUGAAGUAAAGGAAAAUAAUAUAAUGUACAGACUGGCAUAAUUGGGACACUAAUGUCUUGCUGGGGGAGUUGCAAACUGAUCCAACCAUUCUUCAGGGCAAUUUGGAAUUAUGCCCAGUAAGACCACUACUAGGUCUGAAAUCCAAAGAGACUUAAAAAAAUGGGAAAGGACAUGGUUGUACAAAAAUAGUUAAAGCUGCCCUUUUUGUGGUGGCAAAGAAAUGGAAACUAAAGGGACAUCCCUCAAUUUGGGAAUGGCUGAACAAAUUGUGGCAUAUGAUGGUGACAGAAUACUAUUGUGCUCUGACAAUAAACAGGAGGAUGAUCUCACAAAGAGUUGGAAAGUCCUACAUUAAUUGAUGCACUGAAAUGAACAGAACCAGGAAAACAUUAUAAACAGUAACAGCAAUAGUGUGGAAUGAUCAAAUUUGAUAGACUUAGCUGCUCUCAGUGAUACAAUGAUUCAGACAGCAUUUUAGAUAGGUAGCCACAAACACAGAAAAGAUGUAGGAUGACAGGGGAUGGAAGAAAUAAGUCAGGGGGGAAAUAUGUUUCUUUGCAGGCAGUAGGGAAGGAGUCAGCAGACAGAGACUGAGAAUAAGUCAGAGUGUGGGGACAGAUUCCAGUUCCAUUGCCAUGUGGACCAUUUCAACUAUUUCAGGUCCUUAGCUCUGUGGCUCUCAGGCUCAGGCCAAACACUCAGCCAAUAAAAGAUGAUUACAUCACAGAGCACUUAUGAUAUGUCACAUCACCAAGGUAACAGGAGGGAUGGUGAUAAACAAAGGGUGGAGCCUGGGGAGAUCAUUUCUGAAAAGAAAAAGAUGAGUGAUAAAGUAGAGAACAAGGAAUACAAGAUGAAAGCAUGUGAUAGAUCUAUUGUGAAUUGACUGUAUGUUCAUCAAAUGAGAGAACAAAUGGAGCACUUUCAAAAUCAGAAGAAGCAAAGCAAUAAAGAAGUACUGAAUUUUCUGGUGAUAAACUAA